rnacentral:rRNA from 1 species
UAGUGAUUUUUAGCGUACCUGUUUAACCAGGGCGUGACCUCUCACUUUUCAAACUCUGUGCACUAUCAAAUUUGCUGGCAGGUCUUUAGGGAAAGGGUGUCGAAAGGCAUCUUGGAACUUGAGACGCUCCGGCUCAUUUUUACCAAACAUUUAAAGUCAUUGUAUGUCAAAGAAAUUUAAUAACAAAAAAAACUUUCAACAACGGAUCUCUUGGCUCUCGCAUCGAUGAAGAACGCAGCGAAAUGUGAUAAGUAAUGUGAAUUGCAGAAUUCAGUGAAUCAUCGAAUCUUUGAACGCAUCUUGCGCUCGCUGGUAUUCCGGCGAGCAUGUCUGUUUGAGUGUCGUGAACUCUUCAACCCCCAAUUUUUCUUUAUUGAGAUUUUGGCGCGGCUUGGUUUCUGAACGUCUGCUGGACUAACCCCUUUUUGGGGCACCCGUCGAAGCUCGUUCGUAAUACAUUAGCAUCCUAAUCUUCGAGAUCAGAUUGACUCGGCGUAAUAGACUAUUCGCUGAGGACAUGGCACCCCCUUAAAAAGGAUGUUGUGGCUGGACUUGGAAAGCUGGAAGCUUACAAAACCCGACAAUUUUAGUCAAAUCAUUUUAAGAUUAGACCUCAGAUCAGGCAGGAUUACCCGCGAA